rnacentral:rRNA from 1 species
GACGAACGCUGGCGGCGUGCCUAACACAUGCAAGUCGAACGGUGAAGCUCCAGCUUGCUGGAGUGGAUCAGUGGCGAACGGGUGAGUAACACGUGAGCAACCCGCCCCUGACUCUGGAAUAAGCGCUGGAAAAGGCGUCUCAUACUGGAUACGAGAAGGGUCAGCACGGGCAUCUUCUGUAAAGGAUUUCGGUUGGGGAUGGGCUCGCGGGCUACCAGCUUGUUGGUGAGGUAAGGGAUCACCAAGGCGACGACGGAUAGCAGGCCUGACAAGGCGACCGGCCACCAGAGGACUAAGACAGGGCCCAGUCUCGAACGGGACGCAGCAGUGGAGAAUAUGGCACAAUAGGCGAAAGCCUGAUGCAACGGCGCCGCGUGAGUGAUGACGGCCUACGGGUUGAAAACCUCUGUCAACAGGAAAGAAGCGAAAGUGACGGUACCUACAGAGGAAGCACCGGCUAACUACGUG